rnacentral:lncRNA from 1 species
GAUGUUUUCAAUAUAUUGCAUAUUUAAACAAGUGUGUAUUCAUACACUUGAAAAAUAUACAUGGAACAGAAAUAUUAGCAUCUUUAAAAUGUAUAUCAAUAAAGAAGUAUAAUAUCAAAAAAAAAAUUAAAGAAAACACUGGAAUACAGGGGACUUCUUCAUGUGGUAUAGUUUUACAGAUAUUUUUGUUUGACUAUCACAGAAUCGCAGAAUUGCAAAAUUGUAGGCAUUGGAAGGGACCUCUGGAGAUCAUCUGGUCCAAUCCACUGCUAAAGCAGUUCCCUGCAGCAGGUCGCACAGGUAGGCAUCCAGACUGGUCUUGAAUGUCUCGAGAGCAGGAGACUCCACACCCUGUCUGGGCAUCCUGUUCCAGUGCACCGCCAUUGUCACAGUAAAGAAGCUCUUCCUGGUGUUAGUAUGGAACUUCCUGUGCUCCAGUUUCUGUCCAUUGCUCCUUGUUCUAUUGUUGCUUGCCACUGAAAUGAGUCCACCCCCAUCAACUUGACUCCCGCCCUUUUGAUAUUUAUAAACAGUUAUGCGGUGCCUUGCUUUUCACCCUUCUCCAGGAUGAAAAUCCCCAGGUCUCUCAGCCUUUUCUCAUACAGGAGGUGCUCCAGGCCCCUGAUCAUCUUUGUGGCCCUCCACUAGGCUCUGUCUAGAUGCCAGUGGUAUCAGUGGUUUUCAACUGAAAUACUGAUUUGAGUGCCCAGCUGGACAUGUUUCACCUUCAGAAAUUACAUCUGGACUUAGAAUCUAGUUGUCCGUAAGGUGCUGAAGCUGGGAAAACAGAAGUGGAAGCCCCCCCUACAGAUGCAGUUACUUCUGAAGCCCUUAGCCAGGAACUUCUGCUUGCCAUACAAACUUCUGUUAUGCCAUACAAACACAUUGUCAGCAACCGUGACAUCUGCAUACAGCCUUCAGCAUCCAUCAACAUCACAUAAAGAUGUUGUGUAAAAGGAGAAAACUAAGGAUGACAUAAGUAAGAAAUAUAGCUUAACAAAGUAGUUCUGCAGGAGAGAAACUCAGGUUUUCCUAUUUCCUUGGCAAUAGCUGUAGGCUGUAACGUUAACUACUUGGACAUCUGCAUCCUUAGAACAAUUUAUUCCUUUAGUAACCGGAGUAAACAGUGGAGUGCUCCUAGGAACCAGAAUAUAUCGCUACUCAACAAAAGCAAUUGAAUGCAAGGAAAGAACUCAACCUACUCUUAAAUUUAAUAGUCUUGAUUUUUAUGCCUGGGAGAGAAUUAAUUUUUUUCUCUCUUUACAUGAAACUGAACAGGACAUUUUUAAGGUCAGGAAUUUCCUGAGCUUUGCCCACUGUGGGUGUUUUGCGGUCUAUUAUACGCAUGCUUCCCCAGUGCUCCUGCAGGGACUAUUUUUUAUUGUUACUAACCUCUAAUGGGGCACCUAAUAAAGGUUAAAUUUUGCUUGCAGGUUGGAGUGCACUGGCACCAGUGACACGGAACCCACACCCCAGAUGUCGUUUCACGCUCAGAGGAUGUGGAGGCAGGAAGGGAAGGAAGGGUGCCAAAUGACCUAAAUGAAUGCUUCAAUUAGCAAGAGUCCUUGCCAGCCAUGCAUAACUGAAACAGGCUAAGCACAAGGAGUAGCUUUCUUUUACAACUUCAAACAGCUUUCUGUAAGUCUGAAUUACCAACUGAUUUAUUUAUUUAUCGCUAGAAGAGAGGGCAGUAAACAAUUUGAAGAUCCAAAUAUCUAGCGGUUCUCCUGCUCAUCCUAUAAAUGUAACUAACUAUAUCACAAGUGGAUUUGUGUUGCACUGUGUAGGUGUGCAGGGUAAUAUCCUCCAGUCCUGAAGCAAUAUGCUUACAGGAAUGUAGUGGUGGUACAGGGAAACUAAUAUAUUUAUUAACCUCCCUUGAUUCCUGGUCAGGCACAGUCUCUGAAAGGCAUCUCUGUUUCAUAAAGGAAAUGCUAUGAACUGUCAGGAUACUUAAAAGCAAACAAACAAACAAAUCAGUUAGCAGUGUCAGAAUGAGUACUUAUUUGUGCCUCCAGCACAGAGAUGGCCCCCAGAUGCCAAGGGAGUGAUUCAAGUUUGGGAAGGUAUAGUAUAACAUGCCUGUUUUGCCAGGGAAGACUGUGGCCAGUUUUUCAGAUCUGAGUACUCCAAGGAGUCUUGUAAACUUUUCAAAUUAAGAAUAUUUUUCAGUGAUAUAAAGGCAGCAUGAUUUUGACUGGGCAAUUGUGCCUUGCUCUGAGAAGGUCAAGUGAGGCAGAAUUCAUUCAAAUACUCCACAGCAAUGCAAAAUGGUAAAAAUGUGUUAAUCAUUUUUUCAUUUAUUGUAUCCAUAUGUUUAUUUCUAUUUCAUUCAUCUGUAAGUCCUCUGGUGUACAUUUUGCAAUACAGCACACAAUAGAAGGGCUGCGGUGACUUCAGCUGCAGCACAUUGGAUAUGCACCAUUUAUUUGACCUUCAUGAGUGCCAUAUUUGCAAAGUGUCACUAAAAAUACCCAGUGGGGUGAGAUCUGAAGACAUCCUGGAAGAGAGGCUUUCCAUAACCUUGAGUACAAGGCUUCAGUUUGUUUUUCACUAUCUCCAGUCCAAAUAAAAGCCAUUGUUGAUGGAGAGGAGGCUGAAUAAAGCUCAGUAAUCAGUCUAUUUCUGCUUUAGAAAAAUAAAACACAGGAAGAACAAACCCUGAGGAGAUCUGUGAUGUAAACCAACCAGUAAAUCAUUUGUCACAGGUACUGUAUGACCACAGACCCAUCCUGUCCUUGUUUGCUUCAGGCCGAAGCAAGAGUAACUCUGAGCAACUGCUUUGUGAUUAAUGGAGUAACAGCAAUACAAAACUGUUCCCAUUGCUGAUCCAAGCAUCUAAGAUGGCACAUGGAGAGACUCUUAAAUGGUUCAGAUCUCACUUUCUAGGCUUUGAUACAUUUAACUAUGGAAUAAAAGAAACAAAACCAAACAGUAAUGGGGAAAACUGUAGGCAUGAACAUCUCAAAGCAGCUUUAAGGAAAACACAUUAAAAAAUACCACUAGUUCACAAAUCAGCUGUGCAAAGUUUCUUAUUCCCAAUCUGCAAAAGUGGAUAUUUUCCUUGUAAGCUGCAUGCAUUUCCCAUAGCCAAUUUUUUUAUAGUGCCACCUGUUCUGGAACAGCAACUGACAUUUAUAAUUUUAUUGACAACAAGCCUGCCAAUACACAUGUGAGCUUACUACAAAUUUGUUCCUGACAGGCUUUUCAGAUCCCUCAGGGCAAAUCACACUGAGUUCUCUGCAAAGUUAUCCAAAGCUGGUGAAGACUGCCUCAAAAAUGCAACCUUUAAUUGUCAGUGUAUAGGUCCUUUCUAGCUGUAGAAGGUGGACAUAAUCAUAAAUCAUUUCCAGUUUAAGAAUCUUUUACCCCAGUAAAAUGUCUCAAUAUGAUCUUAUUUUGACAAAAAUCAGGCCCAACAUUUUUUCACUCUGAGUUUUAUAAGUAUACUCAGGGUAUAUAAUUGCAGAAAAAUUCAAAUGUCCUAAAUUAAUUUGAUUUAUAUGCUGUCCUUGGAAUGAUUUGCAAUUCCCUCCUCUUAUUUCUGUUUGGAUUACCAUUCUUUCCUUCAUUUUUCUGAGUCAUUUCUGUGAGCUACAUGUGAACACCAAAGCUCACUCGUAUCUCUAAGAAAAAAGAAUAUUUGUAUGGCCAUAGUCAUAUCAACCAGAAUGCGAUCACUGACAGUGUACACCACUCAGUGAUUUGCGCUAAUGCUACUUUAGAUUUAUUUUCCUUUUUCUUUUGUUUUUGUUAUGCUACCAUGCUUUAUCUGACAGCAAACCAUGCUGUCUUGGAAAAUACUUUUCUAUGUGAGCAUGGAGUAAUGUAAACACAUCAAAACCCACAGUGAGAGUGGCCAGAAGGACGUGGGCAGUACUCUCUUGCUCUCUUUGAAGAGAUACCCAUUAACAGCACAGAUUCAUAGAAGCAAUAUGUUUGGUAUUCACAUAUUUUUGGGAAAUAGUACAAAGUGCUUGUGGAUUGAACUUUUUAAUUCUUGGAAUUAUACAUGUGAUCUUCAUAUUGUAAUGUAUCACAGUAUAGUGAUACUCUGCUGAGAGUUAUUAGAAGGACUUGUAAACCGCAGAAAAUUGAGACACAGUAGUAACACAAAAUGUGAACUGCCAGUGCAGGUUUCUGUGGGGUCCUCUGUUUUGCCAAAGAACUGUCAUCAGUGCAUCAGUCCUGAAUGGGGACAUGUUACCUCUGUGGUUUGUGUAGCUUUGCAUGCUCCAAAAUUAUUUUUCCAGAACAGUUAGUUAUCAAUAAAAAAUAAAGAUGAGCUGAAGCAGGAAAAAGUUUUUCCUGCCUGCUCCCACCUUCCUCCUCCACGUUGUUCCUGUUUUCUUUGCUGUGCAGUCAUGCAGCUGGCAGAAAGGAUGGGUGAGCGGGUGGUUACUACAGGAAAUAUCCCUCUGGGAUGUCUUCUUUCCAAGAUCUGCCUUAGGUCUUCUGUGAUCUUCAGGUAAAUCCCCGAGGCUGUGUCCAUCUUGUCCUUAUGAGCACCACACACUUCUUUCCACUCAAAAAGAGUAGACAUUGCAGUAGUCAGUAGGUGCAUGGAAAGGAGGCAGAGAUAUACAAAUCUGUCGUUAUGGUUUAUCUCUUCCUUAAAAUCUUUAUUCUCACACCACCAGUCUGUCUUUUCCGCUGUCCAAUGGACAAAACUGAGAAAGCCAGUUACAUGCUAGCUAAAGAAUAAACUUGCCUCUCAUGUAACUAUUUUUCAUAAUGCUACUGAAACAUUCACAAAGAGGCUUAAAAAAGGAGGAAAAAUGGGAAUCCUAUUAUGCAUAGCGUCUUGUUAAUGGAAUUGAUCAGAAGAUGAUGUAGGUCAUCCGUACAAGUUCUGGAAUGAAACUGAAUUUUAAGAAAGAAUUUGAACUGACUAUGGACAAAUGGGAACGGGAGAAAAAAAAAAAAAAACACAAACUGAUUAUUUUAAGAUAAAAAACUUAGAGGACAAUAUACCCCUCCACAUACUUUUUUUGUUUAGUGUUUUCAACCAAGUGACUUGCAAUGACGUCACUUAAUCAUCCUGUACAUUCACACAUGCACCAAUGUCAUUUAGGGAGUAAACACUGCCAUAUGAUUUACUUGAUCAACCAGUAACUGUUUGGAUUUCAGCCAUGAAUGGUCAGGAAAGUGAAUUAGUGUUAAGCAUUCUUUUUUUCAAUUUUGAAUUCUGUACAACAGUGGAGAUAUUAUAAACUUUCUUCUUUUUUCUAGUCCCAGAAUGAGAACAAAAAGGGAACUUGGUGAAUUCAUCUUAGACUAUACCUGAAAUAAAGAUUACUUUUUGCUCUGUAUAACCUGGAAACCACUGGUGCAGGGACUCUGCUGUUUAAGUAGGGUUUUGAAGAACUGGAUUGGAAUGCCUGGGAAGUAGUAACGUUAAACAUAAUGCAAGCUCUGGCAAGCUAUACAAACUACAGUAAAAUGGGAGACUAAAAUUUCAUGCUGCAGGGCUUAAAUUUUACCUACUCAGGAGGCCAGGAAGAAAUUUUUCUCUUAAUAAGACUGUAUAAUUGAGUAUGUAGACAGUCAGUCUGAUCCAAAGCCCACUGUUGCUAAUGAAGUACUAUGUAUUUGUGCUUCUGAGCUUUGACUCAGGACUAUCAUAGUCAGAAAGCUGCUCACCUUCCUUUCAGAUCUGUGUAAAUUUGCCACUGCUGGGAGCAACAACCCCAAGCAAGUGUUUGAUCAGCUAUCAGACUAGGAAAGAAAAAUGUAAGCUAUUCUUUCAAAUUGAACCCUUGUGAACUCCCCAUUAACUGCAGAUUUUCAAAGUAUGAACAUAUAUGUCUGUGAUCUUCUUGGCUGUGCUUCUGUGAGCUUCUGUGAGCUUCUUGGCUGCUGAAUACAGGAUUCUACUGGGUUACUUAGUGAAGCUUGGCUUCCUGUGCUUGGCUCCUCCUGAAGAAGGGAGCUCAAAUGUGCUUUAAACCUUUGCUAAGCCCCCCUAAUUGAGACGAUGGCUUGAGGGAAAUGGUAAGCUCUCUCAUUGGAGGUGCCAAAAUUAGCUGUUGUUCAUCUUGUAGAUUUUCUCAGGCGGAGAUUUCCUCUGUUCUUCUGUAAAAAGAAACAGUGAUUGAGAGAGAGUAUGUGAUCACCUGGUGAAUGCAAACAAAUUGACAGAAGAAAUAAAAGCUUCAAUAUCAGUACUGCCAGGUGUGACAUGGAUGCACCUGCAACCUCUCCCACUGCGACAUCUCUUUUCGCUUCCUUUGGCUGCCAGAGGUCAUAAAUAUGGAUAUCAUCUGGAGACAAUAAGACAUUUCAUCUGCUAAAAUAUAAAGCCAGAGAUUAGGGUUGUUUCCUUUGUCUCCACAUAGAAUGCUCAAUAAUGUAUAUUCCUUAUCAUCAGGGAGACUCUAAGCAGGAACAAUUAUCAUAAGCUGCCAUAAGAUAAGUAUUGCAAAACUCCACCUCAGCCUGUAUACUGUUCUCCAAUCUAAAAUACAUUACGGUGUUGCUGGGCUCAACACCACUGUGCCUAGCUACUUUGUUUGCUGAUUUGGGCCUCGGAAGAUAAAAUGACUUGUAGUCCUCCUGCAUGCAAUGGAAAAGGAUUCCCUUCUGUUAGAGCACAGGUCCUGGUGACUGCCUCUGCUGUGGCUGUAGGAGGCCAAGGAGUGAGCGAGCUCUGUUGAUGCUGAGCUGGGUUGCCACGUGCUUACAUUUCAUAAGGACUCUGCUAUAUAAAACGCUGCUGUUUGAGAUCAAAAGGAAACGAAUGUACAUAAAAAAUUUAGCCUUGAAAUUCCUUUCAAAUUACAUGAGUAAUAGGAAGGCACAAUGGAAGUUAGAUCUGUUCUAUGACAGUUUGUUUUCUCUUGAGAAGUACAGGUGUAGCACUAAGAAGUCCUUGCUCUUUAGCCUCUUCUUCUUUGAACACAUUCCCUCCACACCAUCUCUCCGUUCAGUAAUCUUCUGAUUUCCUCAGAUCAUGCACUCUUCUUGGCAGAAGGAGCAUCUCUCUGGAAUCACUACGUACACAAUCCCUGGACAAGGCAUUAAAAUGUCCAACCUUAAUCCAUAUGGAUGUUACUUUCAAGAGGUCGGAUUUCAGAGAAGGAAGCACAGAAAGGGAGUGAGCAUCUGAUCCUUCUAUUAGUACAAUUAAACUGUUGAAUGUCUUUCCCAGACUAAACAAAUUAACUUUAUAUUUUCAAAUUGGCACAAGUCAAAUCUAGAUGCUGAAUUAAUUAACGAUGCCUGUGAUAGUGAGUUCUCCUUCCACUUUUAAUUAUACUGCAUCAUGUGUUUUCACAAGUUCUUUCAAGGGAAGCCAAACACCAAAGUUCUGCUACUACUUUGUAUCUAGGAAACGCAGAAUAAACUGAGAGUGAAGGGCUUCAAAGCAGACCUGAAGGAAAUGAUGCAGCAGAGUGCUGGGGAUCCACGUUGCUCAUUACUGCUUUUUGGGACAAGAGAUUACAAAAGAUACUGGUGUUUAAAAGUGGCAAAUGGCAGAGCUGCAGCAUGACUGGCCUCAACACUUGUGCAGGCUGUGGGAGUAUGACUCUGUUGUUGCUCAACUGCUUCACGUGAUGUCUGCAACCUCCAAAGAACAAAUCCAUGGACACAAAUAAAUAUUCCUUUUGGCAACGACAUAACAAGCCAAAGCCCAAGAAGCAAACAGUCAUGGUAUCUUCCACCUAGAGAGGAAUACACACACAGCCAGAGAAUAACUGGGGCUCUCACCCAGCCUCACUUCAUUGGGCAGAUGUGUUGGCUUCUGCCCCAGAAGCUGGCCACACUCUCCUCCUUGUUUCAGAUCAGUGCCAGGCAGCCCAAGGUGCCUGAUGAAUCAAUUAAGAGUUACCUGCAUUAUUCUAGCACUUCUCUCUGUAGGCCACUAUUGCAACACAGCAAUUUAUUUCUUGCAUUGCUUUUUCAGCCACUUUGUCAGCAUAAGCAAGCACUGGAUAAGUCUUGUUUCUUUUUACUUCUGAAGGCAAGAAUACA